rnacentral:rRNA from 2 species
GAGUUUGAUCAUGGCUCAGAGCGAACGCUGGCGGCAGGCCUAACACAUGCAAGUCGAACGAUCCUUCGGGAUAGUGGCGGACGGGUGAGUAACACGUGGGAACGUGCCCUUUGGUUCGGAACAACUCAGGGAAACUUGAGCUAAUACCGAAUGUGCCCUUCGGGGAAGAUUUAUCGCCAUUGGAGCGGCCCGCGUCUGAUUAGCUAGUUGGUGAGGUAAAGGCUCAUCAAGGCGACGAUCAGUAGCUGGUCUGAGAGGAUGAUCAGCCACAUUGGGACUGAGACACGGCCCAAACUCCUACGGGAGGCAGCAGUGGGGAAUCUUGCGCAAUGGGCGAAAGCCUGACGCAGCCAUGCCGCGUGAAUGAUGAAGGUCUUAGGAUUGUAAAAUUCUUUCACCGGGGACAUAAUGACGGUACCCGGAGAAGAAGCCCCGGCUAACUUCGUGCCAGCAGCCGCGGUAAU